CUGGCCGUAAACGAUGGAUACUAGGUGUGGGAGGUAUCGACCCCUUCCGUGCCGGAGUUAACGCAAUAAGUAUCCCGCCUGGGGAGUACGGCCGCAAGGCUGAAACUCAAAGGAAUUGACGGGGACCCGCACAAGCGGUGGAGUAUGUGGUUUAAUUCGAAGCAACGCGAAGAACCUUACCUGGACUUGACAUCCCCUGAAUGACUCGUAAUGGAGGAAGCCCUACGGGGCAGGGAGACAGGUGG
rnacentral:rRNA from 1 species